ensembl:snoRNA
AAGCACAUCAUGUUCUUUUUCUUUGAUAGUGGGAACAAAGAUAUUUGAGGUGCUAAAAAAAAACUUGAAGGUAAAUUAGCAGUGUGGUAAAUGUUGCCAGUACUGUCAGUCGCCUUCAUACAAAA